rnacentral:lncRNA from 1 species
GGCUGGUUAUUUCAAAUGGUCCGGAAAAAUACAAGCAGCACAGAAGUAUCUCCGCAGUCCGGAAGACACGAAGUUUCUAUAGAGAAAAAGUCGUCUGGAGCAAGCUGUCUGCUAGUGCCAAGACCCGUCUAAAACACAGAGUACCGACAGCACAUCUGCUCCAGAAGCAGCCCCAACAACAACCCCCGAUUUUUGCCUGGGAAACCGAGGCUCAGCUUGGCGACCUUUGAGCCACAAAACAGCGGCGUUUGCUGCGGUGAAAAGCAAAAGGGAGGGGGGGAAAGUGGCUACAGGGGAGGGGUGUCUCGGUACCCCCAGUUCUAUAUAGAAAACAACUGCAAUAUUGUUGGUUACAACGAAAUGUGAAAACGCCCCUAGACUGUUCUGGUGUAGUGGGGGAUUGGGAUAUCACGCAGGUCCCCUGGCACGCGUGAGGUCAUUGCCUGGAUUGUUUAGGGCUGUGCCUGGAGUCUGACAGCCGAUUUGCUUCCCAGUCAGUUUCACACAGAAGCCAAAAAGAUCCCGGCUAUAGAUAGUAACAGGGAAGCUGCUGUUUACAGCAACAAACAGGACCUCCACAGUUCAAGUAUCCAAGCGACCGCUGCAGGGAGCAGCAGCCCAGGCGCUAGGGAGAAGGCAAUGCCAGCUCCCUUCUGGGAAGGAUGAUGGGAUCUGUUGGUGCUGCGGCUGCUUCCCGAGUCUUGCUUUGGCUCUUGAAACCUUUCCUGAUCCUCCCUUGCACUUCCACUUCUGAUAAAGAAAAUUAUCAUCAGCCAAAAGAACAAGAAGAAUGGACCAAAUAUCACCCAGGGUGCUGGUUAAACCUGUUCUUUUACUACAUUUUUCACCUGCCUUAGAAGACACUGGUUGGAAGGUACAGUUGUUCCCUCCUCUGGGAGUAGAGCCAGUCUUUGGCUUAUGAUCCUUUCUGUUUCAGCUGAGUCAAGCACGGGCCAUUCAGGGAACCCAUCCUUAGGUCAAACAGGAAUUGAUUGGGGCGGGUAGGGUAGUGGUCCAAGGACAGGACAAGCCAUCUUGGAGGAAAAAUGUAUAUGCCUGAAUAACAGUUUAAGAGGUGAUCAGUCUGAUUUGGAACAAUAAAAGAAAAAUUUAGCAAGCCA